GGGGCGGUACCGAAGUGGUUAACCGGGGCAGACUGUAAAUCUGUUGGCAUUGCUACGUGGGUUCGAAUCCCACCCUCCCCA
rnacentral:tRNA from 2 species